CACGGGUGAGUAACAUGUGGGAAUCUACCUAAAGGUUCGGAAUAACUGCGGGAAACUGUAGCUAAUACCGGAUGUGUCUGCAAAGAGAAAGAUUUAUCGCCUUUAGAUGAGCCCGCACUAGAUUAGCUAGUUGGUGAGGUAACUGCUCCACCAAGGCUACGAUCUAUAGCUGAUUUGAGAGGAUGAUCAGCCACACUGGGACUGAGACACGGCCCAGACUCCUACGGGAGGCAGCAGUAGGGAAUAUUGGACAAUGGGGGAAACCCUGAUCCAGCAAUGCCGCGUGAGUGAAGAAGGCCCUCGGGUUGUAAAACUCUUUCAUCAACGAUGAUAAUGACAUUAAUUGAAGAAGAAGCUCCGGCUAACUUCGUGCCAGCAGCCGCGGUAAUACGAAGGGGGCUAGCGUUGUUCGGAAUCACUGGGCGUAAAGCGUAUGUAGGCGGAUCAAAAAGUUAGAUGUGAAAUCCCUGGGCUCAACCCAGGAACUGCAUUUAAAACUAGUGAUCUAGAAUUUGGUAAAGGUUAGUAGAAUUUCCAGUGUAGAGGUGAAAUUCGUAGAUAUUGGAAAGAAUACCAGAAGCGAAGGCGACUAACUAGGCCAUUUUUGACGCUGAGAUACGAAAGCGUGGGUAGCAAACAGGAUUAGAUACCCUGGUAGUCCACGCAGUAAACGAUGAGUGCUAGUCGCUGGG
rnacentral:rRNA from 1 species